CUGCAACACCCUGCGUGGAUACAUGUGUCGCUUUAACGUUGUUGAAAUCUAGAUACAUAUGCGAUUAUCAGGAAAGGUUUUAGCAGUCUUGAACCGUCGUUUAUUAAGCAUCCUCGUUCCCAGGGCUUCUCCAGUUCUCGGCAGCCGAGAAGCCCUGAAAACGAGGUAGCUCAUUAACAAAUAUACGGCUCAAUAUGUACAUCCUGAAACCAUUCUAGCACCAGGGUGUUCCCAUGAAAACACAUACAUUACACUUCUUUUAAAACAUGUAUUAAAAAACACUUGUUAUCAAAUGAAAACGAAAUGGAAAUUGCAUUGAUAUAAACUGUCCUAUUUGUACAUAUAAUUAUCUUUAUUUACUGAUUAUGAAC